rnacentral:lncRNA from 1 species
ACAUGUUAAUGUUACAGAAUGGUUUGAAUAUGUAUCACAGCAACGGAGCUGAUAUAUAUAUCGUAAUAAUAUGUAAAAGACCAUAUAUAGGUGAAAUAGGCGAGGGGAGGAAACGUUAGCCAGACUUGUAGUGGAAGCUGGGAACCAAAAAUCUCAACUUAUUUAUCGUGAAUGGCGAAAUCUGAUGCACUUCGAUCCUGUUAGUUCCGCUUUGUUUUUCUAGCGUCACUCGUCAUAUUUGGUUAACACUUAACAGACUCCAGUAUCAGCAACUGCAUUAUCAAU